UCCUCAUCCUGUUGAGAUACAAUACAAUUUAAACUUUCGGAUGAGACGAUCGCACUAUUUAACUCAUGAAAGAUGACUUACAAUGAAAAUAUAACCAUCUUUAAGCUUUUAGAUGAGACGAUCGCGAUCUAAAGUUUGAAACUUUUAUAUUAGGUGGUAACAUGUUUACCUCAAGUGGAACCUUGGUGAUAACUUCUUUAAUGACUUCUUCAUCUUCUUGGGGCUUUUGUAUACUUGGUUCUUGUUGAAUUAGUAAUGGAAUUACUACUUGAUUUGGCACUUUUUUGGAACUAGAAGUAUACUCCAUAGACAAAAAUUUGUCUCUAUCAUCAUGGAGUACUUCAAGAAGUCCAUUAUCAGAAAGAAGUUCCCAUUCUUGAAGAUCCAUUUUUUUUUUUCUCAAUGAAUGAAAGCAGGGGAGUUAAAGAGUAGUAGAGGUUAAAUAGUUUGAAAUUUAGAGGAG
rnacentral:misc_RNA from 1 species